rnacentral:lncRNA from 1 species
CUCUAAGAAAGGAUGACAGUAGCAGUGCAUGAAGCUGAUACUAAAAACUCACAGUGCUCCCAGAGUACCAGCAGGGAACAUGAUUUGGUGGAACAAACAUCUACCAAGCAUCCAUUCUGCCAGGCUUAUGGUGCUACAUACCAGGUAAUGUUACAGAAUUAGACUGGAAUUUCAGGCACUGAAGCUGGAGCAAUGGGAUGUGUGUAGAAGGAAAGGGACCCUCUCGAUGCUGGUACAUGGGAGAAGCCAUCCCCCCUCCAAUUUAUAAUAAAUGAAUGUUGAAGUAAAUCUCUUCAUUAACUAGAUGGAGAAAGGAAUUUAUGCUCCAAAGUAAUCACUCAUCUCUUCAGCACAAAAACCCCAAAGAUUCCACUUCCUGAACAUUCUCUCUAAUGGGACAGACCUUUGCUGACCGGCUGGGCACAGGCAUGACUUCAGCAGGUAAACUCCAUGGAACUCGAAGCCCAAAUCAAACACACAGCAAUACUUCCUGGAAGCCAGUGGGUGGCCUUGGCUGGUGAAAGCUCGUCCUUCAAGCAACUGAGGCAGGAGUCCAUUAAAGGUGUUAAUUUUACAUGAUGUGGCACGGCAAGUUUAUAAAUAAAUUACAAAUGAACAUUCCCCACGGUUCCUCUCCUCUGAGUUUCUGUGUACCUGCUGCAGGCCUGGCAACAGCAGGAGCCACUCAGAUGCCAGAUCUGGAAUUGCCCUUCAAAAAGUGAAGAAGGAGGCCUUUCUGUCACCAGGACUUGAUAAGUUUUGACGCUUUGGUUGCUGGAUCCAGCCACCUUUGAAAGCUAGCUACUAAUUUAUCCUCUAUGGCUGGAUGUGCUCAAUUUAAGAUUAUUAUCAUAAGCUACAAGAACAAAACACAGAUGUUAGAGUUUCAGAAAAAUGUACUGUUGGGGACCAUUAGUAAAAA